UGGGGAAUUUUGGACAAUGGGCGAAAGCCUGAUCCAGCAAUGCCGCGUGAGUGAAGAAGGCCUUCGGGUUGUAAAGCUCUUUUGUCAGGGAAGAAACGGUGAGAGCUAAUAUCUUUUGCUAAUGACGGUACCUGAAGAAUAAGCACCGGCUAACUACGUGCCAGCAGCCGCGGUAAUACGUAGGGUGCAAGCGUUAAUCGGAAUUACUGGGCGUAAAGCGUGCGCAGGCGGUUUUGUAAGUCUGAUGUGAAAUCCCCGGGCUCAACCUGGGAAUUGCAUUGGAGACUGCAAGGCUAGAAUCUGGCAGAGGGGGGUAGAAUUCCACGUGUAGCAGUGAAAUGCGUAGAUAUGUGGAGGAACACCGAUGGCGAAGGCAGCCCCCUGGGUCAAGAUUGACGCUCAUGCACGAAAGCGUGGGGAGCAAACAGGAUUAGAUACCCUGGUAGUCCACGCCCUAAACGAUGUCUACUAGUUGUCGGGUCUUAAUUGACUUGGUAACGCAGCUAACGCGUGAAGUAGACCGCCUGGGGAGUACGGUCGCAAGAUUAAAACUUAAA
rnacentral:rRNA from 1 species